UACGAAGGGGCGAGCGUUGUUCGGAUUUACUGGGCGUAAAGGGCGCGCAGGCGGUCCUGUUUGUCGAGUGUGAAAGCCCCGGGCUCAACCUGGGAAUGGCGCUCGAAACGGCGGGACUAGAGAUCGGGAGAGGAGCGUGGAAUUCCCAGUGUAGAGGUGAAAUUCGUAGAUAUUGGGAAGAACACCGGUGGCGAAGGCGGUUCUCUGGGCCUGACCUGACGCUGAGGAGCGAAAGCGUGGGGAGCGAACAGG
rnacentral:rRNA from 1 species